GGUGGCGUACCCAAGUAGUAAGGGAGCGGUCUGCAAAACCGCCAUUCGCCGGUGCAAAUCCGGCCGCCACCU
rnacentral:tRNA from 1 species